CAAAGCUGCUACAACUCUUUCUCCCCACUACCUUGCUUGCAAUGGCUGGCAAGGGUACGUGUCAAACAGGCUCGAAAGCGCACUACUACUAUUAAGUUCAGUAUUAUUAAAUAGAUUAUUAAAUAGAUUAUAGUCUAUCGAAGUAGAUAUUCUGCAAAAAAAAAAAUAAUAAUAAAAAUAAAAACAAGGCUUCAAGAUUGUGAUGACCAGAUGGUAAUGGUCCAGAUAGGUAUUUAUUUAUUGCUCAAAAGAGUUUUUAACUUUAUCCAGAGUUGUUUAUUGCUUGGCUUCAGUUAAAUCACUCAUAUUGAGUAACAACUUUAAGAUGUAGAGCUGGCUCGAAAUGGAAAA
rnacentral:lncRNA from 1 species